ensembl:sense_overlapping Gm5607 predicted gene 5607
CUGCGAGUGUGUGUGCCGAACGAGGAGCAAGGAGCUUGUGCGAGCGAGUGUGCGAGCGGGGGUGCGCGUGUGAGUGUGCGUGCGCGUGGCGCGGGCGCCGUCGCUGCUCGGAGCCUGGCCGGGCCGGGGUCCGCGGGCUUCAGCGCGUGCGCUUGGCCUGCGGGGAGCCCAGGUCCCACGCGGCCCGCAACCAGACAGGGCUGCGAAGGUGCAGGCGGGCCAAGCGCUGCGGACCCGGCGGGCUGCAGGAAGAACUAACUAUACCCCGAACAUCCGCUGUCAGCAGGCACAAGGCUGUGAUUCAAGAUGAGUGCCCGAAGCUUCCUCUGCCUGUGUGAAGAAGAUCCAGCAAGAGAAGGAAGCAGGGUUCCUGAAAGCCAGGCUGAUGAGGAAAACUCCUGUGCUGAGUUAACGUGGGCGUCUGAGUGGGCAGAGUCAGUGUAUGAACAGCACAGGUGCCCACCCCACCCCCACCCUGGCGGGAAUACUCUAUGAGGUCAAAGCUGGUCCCUGUGUCUGUCUUCAAGGACACAAGCCAAUUUAAAAAGAAAUCAUUCACUUAAAAAGAAUGUUUAGAUCAGCUCCCACUGGUGCAGACUGAUUGGUUAAUAUCAUCUCAACUUAGCGUGUUCUGAAAAUAAGGGUUACUAACCUUCACAGACAACCAGUGGUCUCAGGGAGCCACGAAGCUGUCUCGGGACUGCACACAAGACACACACAGGUGAAGCUGGAUGCAAGUCAGACCUGUGAACUAACUCCCCGCAACCGAGGGGGGAGGAAGUGACCACAUCAUCUCAUUGGCUCUGCAGAUCCAAGUCCACUCAAACGGCAAGCAUGGCCCAGAGUUGGAUGCACCCUCAGAUUCAACAGCCGACCACUGGCAUCCCUUUUUCCCCCUUCCACGGUGGUACAUGGAAUAAAAACACACCCCGGGCUUGCUGGAAUACCAAGGAAACAUUCAUGCCCAUGGAGAGAGGAGCCUUCACUAACCUUGAGUGGGAGAGAAUCAGCCAGGGCCUCUGCGGCACAUGGAAAUACUUGUCUUAAGUAGUUGGCUCUUAGAAAUCACAGCCCAGAUGCCUGAAGCAGAAGGAGAAGCACCUGUAGUGGCUGUCACCCUGCAGGCACCUCUGUUACUGGAGUCACCAAGAAACGGUAUUGCGGGAGUCUUGGAAGUGAGAGUGCUCCUCUAAGGAGAGACCCAGGAACCUGUUGCUAAGGGGCCAGCAUGCAGGGUCCCUGCUGGGCCUGCAUAGAAGGAGCCCGGUGCUUAGUGGUUCCUUCCUGAAGCCUAGGCUAAGGAUUCUAUAUGGCUUCAUCCUCCGCUCUACUCAAGCAAAGACAAGCUUCAACUGCUGGGCCUAAGGCACAUGGAGCUCAACUCAACAACUGGGAAUGGAGGACCCCUCCAGAGACCCAGAAGACCCCCGCCCGGGGGGGGUGACAUCAGUUGGGGAGCUAUUAAUAACUGCCCUCCCCUCCCUGUCAUAUUUCCUGAACUGUGUGGGGAAGGCGAUUGUGAGGCGCUCUGCUGGAAUUUGGCAGCGCGGAGGCUUGGAGAGCAGCCCCAUGCUGGCUCCUAUUCAGCCGGCCAGUUUUCCUCGAGCUUUGGAAGUUUCACUCAGCCGUGCACUCAAUGGCUUCACAAAGCUGAUUACAAGCUUCAGCGCAUUCCUGAAGGAGCCAAAAGCGACGCAGGUGCAAACGAGCCGAGGGAGCCCCUUAUCCCGGUGACAGAAUGGGACAAGCUGGGAAAGGCUUGGACCACACAAAUCCAAGGCUCACCAGGCAGCAGAGAGCCUGCCUUGGGAACCGGGGGUCAUUAUCCGCCCUAUUCAGCGGGACCGGGGACCCUGGGGCCAAGGAGGCCGGCCGGGCGCAAGCGCCACCGCCAGUACGCGCCUGCAGCAGUGGGGACCCCGCUGGGCGUUGCAACCCGUCGGGAUGUUGGGCGCUGCGUUUGUUCCCACCGACAGCGGUCAGCGAAAUCCAUCCUGCGGGUGAAAGCCGGUGUCCAGGCUAACCGGGAUACAGGAGAAGGAGGGUAGCGAAGAUGCUCAGUGCGUGGACAGUGCGUAACUUUGUCUCCAUCACAGUCACUUAUCUGGAAACCUGCGGCUGGAUUAAUCGCUAUAUUCCCAAGAUGAGCGGUGCUGCAAUCCGCAGUGAACACGGGUGGGAACACGGAAGCUUCCCCUAGGUUCUUGCGGGGGGCCAGCAGCUGGCCAGCUCCCUGCAGUGGAUGCUGCACAGUAGCUAGCACCUGUUUGGGCUCGGGUUGGGGGUCUACGAGCACUUAGGCGCACAGAAGAUGUGGAAGAGAGGAAGGAAACAGGCCUGUGGGGACUCCGGCCUGAGAGAGGUUGAUUAGCUCCCAGUAAAGGCACAGAACUGCCUAUAUAAAGAGCUUUUUAACCUGAAAAUGAUGCUGCUGAGUCUUCAGACCGUGGUCUAUUCAGAUGCAGAAAAAUGUUCCCUCCCAUCUUGAUCUCCCAGCCUCACCCCUACCACACCCACAGCUACUCCUUAGGCCCCUCCCCUGGAAUUUUCUCCUUCGGGAUCCUGGUCCUACAAGGGUUAGUAAUAUUUACUUAGGAACUGUGGGCGUGGAAAUAAAUCCUAGUUGUUCAGCCCCUUGCCCUACCUGUUCCAGUUAAAGACGGUGGGUUGUACCCAGGCAGUGGUGGCGCACGCCUUUAGUCCCAGCACUUGGGAGGCAGAGGCAGGCGGAUUUCUGAGUUUGAGGCCAGCCUGGUCUACAGAGUGAGUUCCAGGACAGCCAGGGCUGUACAGAGAAACCCUGUCUCAAAAAACCUAAAAUAUAAAAUAAAAUAAAAUAAGAUGGUGGAGUGUGUGGUGCCAAAGCUCUAGGGAGAAUACUUGUCUACAAAAACUUUCUCUGCUGAGGUCAAAGCAUCAGCUUCGAGGGAACUACCACUUGGUGUGUGAGGUCUCUGCGCCUGGGCAACGGUGUCUCUGUAGGUGUGAAAGCUGGGCAUCAGCUUGUGACAGCUUUAGGCCACAGAAGCCGAAACUGUGCGCCUCCAUUUUGUCAGCAUAUUAAACAUCCAAGAGGUGCCUGGCCACCACAUAUGGCCCCUGAGCAUCCAACAUUCAGAAUGUCAUACACACUAGAUGUAGAGUUGCUGAAUGAGAAGGAGAUCAUUGAUUUCUUGAGAUGUUGGCUACAGAAAUGACAGUGCUUGGGGUGUGUUGGGUUAAAGAAAACACAUUAUUAAAGUGAGCCUGACUGCCAGCUGCUCUUGGAAGCCACUGUGGCCUUGGUAGCUCCUCUUUGCUGGCUCUGUGCCUUUCAGCGGCUGUCUGUGGUCUUUCCACGAUCCUCUAGGAAAUGGAAAGGGAAGAAACAAAUGCAGUGGAAAGGACUGAGCCUGCGAUCACUAGAGGCAGCCAGAGCCCCUCCCAGCUCCUCUCAAAGUUACCCUUGUAACAAUCAAAGCUUCCUCACUUGCAGCAGUAAAAAGAAGUAUACAUUGUAUUUAUUGCUGGAGUGGUAUUCUUUCUAGAUUAGCUUUAAUUCUGUUUAAUUACAUUGUGAUCAUUAACCGAGCUGCAACUUUUUGUUAUUAGAUAUUUUCUUUAUUUACAUUUAAAAUGUUAUCCCCCUUCCUAGUUUCCCCUACCAAAACCCCCUAUCCCAUCCCCACUCCCCCUGCUCCCCCAAUCCACCCACUCCCGCUUUCCUGUCUUGGCAUUCCCCUACACUGGGGCAUCGAGCCUUCACAGGACCAAGGGCCUCUCCUCCCAUUGAUGUCCAACAAGGCCAUUCCCUGCUACAUGUGCAUGCCCCGUGCUUUCACUGCUCUGUGAGUGGGCUGUGGGGGGAAAGGUGGUGCUGAAUUUCAUUCUGCAAAGCAAAGCAAGCAAAACAAAACAGUAUCAGAUCGUGAAUGUCACUGUGCUGAGCAUCCAGUGUGAAUGACCAGGGCUCUACAGUCUAGAGCCCUUGUCUUGUGUGGACCACGGCAGGUACCCACACACUCAUCUCGAAAACAGAAAGAAGUGAAAGUAAUUUUAGAAGCAGUGUCUGAGAAUUUGAAUGUAUUUACAGACAGGAAGCCAUGGGUCCCUCCAUGUGGAGAUACAGAGACAAAGUGUGGAGCAGAGACUGAAGGAAAGGCCAUCCAGAGACUGCCCCACCUGGGGGUCCAUCCCAUAUACAGCUACCAAACUCAGAUACUAUUGUGAAUGCCAACAAGUGUGCAACUUUUGAAGAAUCUUGCUACUACUGUUGGAUGGAGGAACGUUGAUUCUAGGAGUGACUGUGCAAAUCCCAUGGCAUUACAAGGAAGCCUCUCUCUGCUAUUUUCAAACUUUUAGUCAGCACUUGACACUUUCUGGCUUUAAUUUUGCCUUACAAAUGAGUGUAACUGCCACCACUCAAACAAAACAGAAUUCUGAACAGAAAUUUGUCUUUUGUUGUCUGUACCAACCAAGAGUGAGUUCCUUCUCAAAUUCCUUUUGGGGCUAACAUACACAUUUAGAAUGAUAUGAAAUGAGACUUAAACCAAGGAGGCCAGGAGGGAACAUGCUUAUAAAUGUCUAUUUUACAUGUAUUCAUUUACAUUUAUUCAUGCACUGGCAGUGUGCUUGCCAUGGUGAACACGGAGGUUAGAAGACAGUCUUCAGGAGUCACUCCUCUCCUUCCAACCUGUGGGUCCCAGGGAUCUAACUCAGGCCACCUGGCUUGGCACCAACUGCCUUUGAGAUGUUGAAUCAUCUUGCCAAUUCAAGUAAACUUGAUUAUUAAAGAUUCCAAAAUACUCUGUAUAAUAUUUUAGAUACCAGGGGUCUGAAAGUGAAAUUGUAAAAAGUAGAAAUUUUAUUUAGUCAUUUGGUGAUAAGAAAUGAAAAAAACCUGCUCCAUGCUUAUUGUCCUUAAUAUAUUCAAUUAAAGCACACCAUGAAAAUUUUACAUGAAUAGGCUUGGCGUACAUACAAUAUCAUUCAAUUUAUUUACUUUAGGUAUUGUAUAACUAAUAUGAAAAAAAUGGGAAAAUGUGAAGUUAAAUCCACUACAUCAAUAAAGUGAAAGUAUCUCAGAGAUAAAUUUUGAAUAAAA